rnacentral:rRNA from 1 species
UACACUCCUGCGGGAGGCAGCAGUGGGGAAUUUUGGACAAUGGGCGAAAGCCUGAUCCAGCAAUGCCGCGUGAGUGAAGAAGGCCUUCGGGUUGUAAAGCUCUUUUGUCAGGGAAGAAACGGUGAAAGCUAAUAUCUUUUGCUAAUGACGGUACCUGAAGAAUAAGCACCGGCUAACUACGUGCCAGCAGCCGCGGUAAUACGUAGGGUGCAAGCGUUAAUCGGAAUUACUGGGCGUAAAGCGUGCGCAGGCGGUUUUGUAAGUCUGAUGUGAAAUCCCCGGGCUCAACCUGGGAAUUGCAUUGGAGACUGCAAGGCUAGAAUCUGGCAGAGGGGGGUAGAAUUCCACGUGUAGCAGUGAAAUGCGUAGAUAUGUGGAGGAACACCGAUGGCGAAGGCAGCCCCCUGGGUCAAGAUUGACGCUCAUGCACGAAAGCGUGGGGAGCAAACAGGAUUAGAAACCCGAGUAGUCC